rnacentral:misc_RNA from 1 species
GCAAACUUGGUCAUUUAGAGGAAGUAAAAGUCGUAACAAGGUCUCCGUAGGUGAACCUGCGGAGGGAUCAUUACCGAGUGAGGGCUCGCCGAGCCCGACCUCCCACCCUUUGCAUUCCGAACUUUGUUGCCUCGGGGGCGACCCGGGCCUCCGGCCGUCGGGGCCCCCGGUGGACCUUUCAACGCUGCAUUUUUGCGUCGGAUCGAAUAGAAAAUUGAUGAAAACUUUCAACAACGGAUCUCUUGGUUCUGGCAUCGAUGAAGAACGCAGC